UUUAAUGUUGAUUUUAAAUCGUUUAAACAGUGGCAGUUGUUAAUUACAUUUUAUCAAUAUAACGGCUUGCUAUGAAGCACACUUGGAUUUUGGAUGGCAUUUUACAUCGAUCUAUCUAAAAUUCUAUUAACUUAAAAAGCACAUUUCUACUAGUCUAUUUGCAUAGUUUUACUACUGGCGAAAUUAGCUCUCAGAGUCAUGACAGACCCACCCCCCCACCUCCCACCGGUUUCACGUACAGCCGUUUACACCCAUGUCAAACACAAACACAACUGGAGGUGCAGUAGAAGAACUCAGUCACUAGGUGGGGAUGGUGGUUCAGUACAACGAGUGAAGAGACGGAAGAAGGGGCUUGAACCGUGUCUAAAAGCACCUGUUGGCACAGAGUUUUUGCACCUGCAGUGGACUGAGUGGCUAGUGUUGAAGUCUAAAGCCAGCAAUAUAUGGUGUGAUUGGGAAAUAAGUUGGAAGUGCGGAAUGACUGAAGAUAUCAACUUUCCGUUUGCACUUUUGGCUGUACUAUUAAAAUGCUUUUGAACGCUGCUGCCAAGACGAAGGUCAAUGACGUCACAUUGUAAUGGGAGGACUGACAUUUAUAGCUGAAUGAAUUGCCGCUGUGGCAUUAUUCCGACACGCCACACUUCCUUCAGCAACACCCAACUGCAGAUCUCCACUGCCUGACGCCCCUUCCCCCAGGCCAUGGAGUUCUUCUGUUGUUUUCCAUGGUGUUAAACAUUCAGACCUGACCGGAUUAAUGAGCAUGUUCUUAAGGAGUGCUGUUUUUCAUAAAAUCUGUGUUUGGGCAAACAGUUGUUUUCAUUGCUCUUUCACAGAGCUGUAGUGGCAUUAGUUUGCAUUAUCUGCGUCAGACUGAGAUUGAAGUAUGUAAUACUUGAGCAAGCUGAUCACUGCAUGCCUCACUGUCAUCAAGUCAUCAAGUCACCAUAGCUACAAACACACAGCAACCAAAUACAGUUGUCACUAUAUGAGUCCUGAGUUCUGUUGUGUCCACACAGAGUUUGCUGUACAGUAGUUCGUGAGUGACAGUUGCAUUCUAACCCAACUCACUUUUCAACAAUGAUUUUACUUUAAAUGUGCAAAUUCUUAUGCAGAACUAAGAACAAGUGGCAGAUGGAAUGAGAUCAAUUC